UACGUAGGGUGCAAGCGUUAAUCGGAAUUACUGGGCGUAAAGCGUGCGCAGGCGGCUUCCUAAGUCAGAUGUGAAAUCCCCGGGCUCAACCUGGGAACUGCGUUUGAAACUGGGAGGCUGGAGUGCGGCAGAGGGGGGGUGGAAUUCCACGUGUAGCAGUGAAAUGCGUAGAUAUGUGGAAGAACACCGAUGGCGAAGGCAGCCCCCCUGGGCCAGCACUGACGCUCAUGCACGAAAGCGUGGGGAGCAAACAGG
rnacentral:rRNA from 1 species